GGAGAUCCAGCCAGUCUUGUGGCUAUAAAUGCCAUCUCAGAUGACUCCCAUAAACCUGUCCUCUGCACAGAUCUCACCCCCCAGUCCCAGACUUAUCUAUCCAGCUGCCAUCUGGACAUCUUCGUGUGGAUGGCUGACAGACUUCCCGGGGUGCUCAAAUCAUAAUUCCCAAUAUCCCUCUCAACCCCGCCUGCCCUUGACUUCCUCUUGCCAAUGGCAUCAUUAUUCUUUCAGCGGCUCAGGCUGAAAACUGUGGAAGCAUUCUCGACUCAUCCUCUUUCACAGCCCGCAUCCAGUCCAUCAGCUAAUUCCGUCAGCUGGACGCAGACCCCCGGGACCCCCUCAGGGUGUAGGGGGAAGGAGUGUUGCUCCUUGGACUGGUAGAUGCCCAGAGUCAGAGGUGACAAUGUGCUUAGACACCCUGCAAGGGGCCCCCCCAGCCUAGGCACGCAGGCCAUAUAUAGCCUCUGUAAGAUGUGGGGUUGGGUUAGGGGGCGGGAGGAGAGACUCUGUAUUUCAGGGGACCACUGAGGUGAGGCCAGCUCAGCAGCAGCCAUGGCACACAGUGGAUCAGAGCCCUUCCCAAGGGUUAAGGACCAUGUGAACUGGGAACAGGAUGAGUUCCUCACAGCUGAGUAGGAUAGAGGCUUACGUCAGAACAAGGUGAUCCCAAGGCAAUGGUUUUUUUUCUUUCUUUCUUUUUUUUUUUUUUUUUUUGAGACAGAGUCUCUUUCUGUCACCCGGUCUGGAGUGAAGUGGCGCAGUCUCAGCUCUCUGCAACCUCUGCCUCCCAGGUUCAAGCAAUUCUUCUGCCUCAGCCUCCCAAGUAGCUGGGAUUACAGGUAUGUGCCACCAUGCCUGGCUAAUUUUUGUAUUUUUAGUAGAGAUGCGUUAUUUCCAUGUUGGCCAGGCUGGUCUCGAACUACUGACCUCAGGUGAUCCACUCGCCUCGGCCUCCCAAAGUGCUGAGAUUAUAGGCAUGAGCCACUGCGCCCGGCCGAGGCAAUGGUUUUCAGCUAGGGUGUCCCCAGCUGUCAUUUGGCAAUGUCUGGAGACAUUUGGGUUGUCAUAACUGAGUGUGUGUGUGUGUUUGUGUGCACAUGCUGUAGUGGCCAAGGAUGCUGCUAAACACCCUACAAGGCACAGAAUAGCCAUCACAAUUAUUUGGCUCCAAAUGUCAAUAGAGCUGAGGGAGAGAAAUAUUAAUAUAAACACAGCAGUUCCUGCACACCGAGGUUGAGGCUCAAGGGUGAAACCUGCCUGCUACAUGGCAAGCAGAUUGCAACUGACCACAGCACAUAAUAUGACACCCAAUGGCAAGAGAACGAUGUCAAGGGUCACUGAGAGAGAUGAAAGAUGGUGCAUAUUCAUUGACACCCCUCUCAUUGCAAAGUGGGAGGUCUGUGUCCCCUCCCCUUGAAUUCCAUGGAGUUGGGACUACUCUGACCAAUAGAAUACAACAGAAAUAACAUCUUGCAGUUUCCAAGCCUUAUAAAACUGGCAGCUUCCACUUCUUGUUUCUUGGGACACACUGCCUUGGAGCCUGUGCUGCCACUGAAGAAGUCUGAGUGCCCUGAGGCCACCAUGGUGUGGGGAAGCCCACGCUAGCCUUGUGGCAAGCCAACUGUUCCGCAACAUAGUGCGGGCUCCAGGUAACAUGAAGGAAGCUGUCUUGGGCCCUCUAGCCCAGCCCAGUCUCCAGCGAAUCCCACUGAGUGACCCUAGUCAAGCCCACAUGGAGCAGAAGAAUCACCUAGCUGAGCCCUGACCCACAAAAUCUUGAGAAGGAAUUAAAUUGCUAUUGUUCCCAGCCAGAAAAGCAAGGUAGCUUAAGGUAGUUUGUUCCACAGCAGUAGGUAACUAGAACAGUCAUGUCCAAGGAUUUGUUCCUGCACUUUCCCCUUCGCCACGUAUGGCAGAAAUUCUCAGGAAUUCUCAUGAGCCAGUGUCAUGCUAGUGCUUGUUGCAUCUGCUCCUCUCCAGCCGCCCCAGCCCACUGAUCCAAGCACUCUGUGAAAUGACUUUUGUGUGUCGACUUCUUCCCACGAGGAAGACGUUUCUUUCAUUGCCAUGUGCUGGACCCCAGUGCAGAGCCCGGGGCAUUGUCAGUGCUUAGUGUUUGUUGAAUGAGCCAAUGGAACUGGUCACCCUCCGCUGCCCUGGGGGUCCCUCAGCCUUUCCCAGAAGGUCCCUUGGACCUUCCCUCUGGGCUUCCUCACUCCCUUUUCUGCUUAUUCUUUUCUGAGCCGAAUUGUUGUAGCCCCUCAGAUCCAAAUGGCCCAACCCCACUGUCUCCUUCCCAGCACCUCUGUUGAGAAAUACCAAGUGGUAGAGAGUGUGCCUGUGUGGACGUGGGUGGGAUACGUGCCUCUUCUACACCGCCCGUAGGAAGGUACGCUUAGCAAUAGCUAUUGAAAACACAAAAGUGAUUCUGCUCUUAGGAAUGUCUCCCGCAGGGACCCUACCCUGGUGGCACAGGACGUCUCACACAGCACUGUCUGGGACAGCAAAAGGGAUGGAAACCACCUGAGUCCAACUAUGGAGGACACUGGAAAACACGAUGCUGCCUCCAUAGGAUGGGAUAUUGUUCUGGAGGCUGCAAGCCCAGGUUCAAGGCAUCAGCAGGUGUGGUUUCCUCCGAGGCCUCUCCCCGUGGCUUGCAGAUGGCUGCCUUCUUCCUGCAUCCUCACGUGGUCCCUCCUCUGCACUCCAGCAUCCUUAAUGUCUCUUUGUGUGUCCAACUUUCCGCCCCCCCCCACCCCUUUUUUUUCUGAUGGAGUCCACCCAGACUGGAGUACAGUGGCGUGAUCUCAGCUCACUGCAACCUCCACUUCCUGGGCUCAAGUGAUUCCCCCGCUUCAGCCUCCCGAGUAGCUGGGAUUACAGGCAUGUGCCACCAUGCCUGGCUAAUUUUUGUAUUUUUAAUAGAGAUGGGAUUUCACCAUAUUGGCCAGGCUGGUCUCAAACUCCUGACCUCAAGUGAUCCACCCAUCUCGGCCUCCCAAAGUGUUGAGAUUACAGGUGUGAGCCACUGCGCCCAGCCCCGAACUUUCCUCUUAAAAGGAUAUCAGUCAGGCCAGGCGCAGUGGCUCAUACCUGUAAUCCCUGCACUUUGGGAGGUUGAGGCGGGUGGAUUACUUGAGGUCAGGAGUUGGAGACCAGCCUGGCCAACAUGGUGAAAUCCCGUGUCUACUAAAAAUACAAAAAUUAGCCGGGCGUGGUGGCAGGCGCCUGUAGUCCCAGCCACUCGGGAGGCUGAGGCAGGAGAAUUGCUUGAACCUGGGAGGCAGAGGUUGCAGUCAGCUGAGAUCAUGCUACUGCACUCCAGUCUGGGCAACAGAGCAAGACUCUAUCUCAAAAAAAAAAAAGACACCAGUCAGACUGGAGUAGGGCUCACCCUAAUGGCCUGAUUUUAACUUAAUUACCUCUUUUUUUUUCUUUCUUUUUUUGAGACAGAGUCUCGCUCUGUCACCCAGGCUUGAGUGCAGUGGCGCGAUCUCAGCUCACUGCAACCUCUGUCUCCCGGGUUCAAGUGAUUCUCCAGCCUUAGCCUCCCAAGUAGCUGGAAUUACAGGCGUGUACCACCACACCAAGCUAAUUUUUGUAUUUUUUAGUAGAGACAGGGUUUCUUCAUGUUGGUCAGGCUGGUCUCAAACUCCUGACCUCAGGUGAUACACCUGCCUCGGCCUCCCAAAGUGAUGGGAUUAUAGGUGUGAGCCACUGCACCCAGCCUUAAUUACCCCUUUAAAGGCCCUAUAUGCAAAUACAGUCACAUUCUGAGCUACUGGGGGUUAGGGCUUCAACAUAGGAAUUCAGGCAGACAUGAUUCAGCCCAUAACAAGGGCUUUCACUUUUUUUUUUUUUGUAGAAACAGGGUCUCACUAUGUUGCCCAGGCUACUCUUGAACUCCUGGGUUCAAGUGAUUCUCCAGCCUCAGCCCCCAGAUUAGCUGGGGCUACAGGUGCACCAGCACGCCCAGCUAAUAUUUUUACUUUCAUUUUUUUUAGACGGAGUUUAGCUAUCUUUGCCCAGGCUAGAGUGCAAUAGCGUGAUCUUGGCUCACCACAACCUCUGCCUUCCGGGUUCAAGAAUUCUCCUGCCUCAGCCUCCCAAGUAGCUGGGAUUACAGGCAUGCACCACCAUGACCGGCUAAUUUUGUAUUUUUAGUAGAGACGGGGUUUCUCCAUGUUGGUCAGGCUGCUCUCGAACUCCCGACCUCAGAUGGUCUGCCCGCCUCAGCUUCCCAAGGUGCUGGGAUUACAGGCGUGAGCCACCGCGCCCGGCCAAUAUUUUUUGUGGAGUCAGGGUCCUACUAUGUUUCCCAGGCUGGUCUUGAACUUCCAGGCUCAAGCGAUCCUCCUGCCUUGGCCUCCUAAAGUACUGUGAUUCCAGGCCUGAGCCACAGCACCCUGCUGGCUUUCACUUUUUACUUUAUUUCUAUGUUGUUAAAAUCUAUUACAAUAAACAUUACUUUUAAAGGAUUUUGUGCACUUCAAUCCAAAUGUCCCUGAAGCAUCUACCUCCCUCCUGGGCCUUCUCUGAAGUCAGAGUAGGGGCAGCUGAAGCCCUCCCUCUGCUGGCUCCAGGAACGAAACCCCCUGGCCCACUAAGGCCCUUCCCCUGGGGAGGGUGGCGUGGGAUAAGAACACUCAGUAUCUGUCUGGCCCUCUCAAGAUCACUGAGGACUUUCCCAGACAGCCGACAUGGUCUUCAGAUCAGUCUGCCAAACGUCACAUAGAGGCUGGGCACGGUGGCUCACGUCUGUAAUCCCAGCACUUUGGGAGGGCAACGUGGGUGGAUCACCUGAAGUCAGGAGUUCGAGACCAGGCUGGCCGACAUUGCAAAACCUCGUCUCUACAAAAAUAUAAAAGUUAGCUGGGCGUGGUGGCACGCGCCUGUAGUCCCAGCUACUCGGGAGGCUGAGGCAGGAGAAUCACUUGAACCUGGGAGGCGGAGGUUGCAGUGGACCAGGAUCGUACCACUGCACUCCAGCCUGGCCAACAGAGUAAGACUCCAUCUCAAAAAAAAAAAAAAAAUCAGGUGGAGGGGCAUCCUCUGUUUUCCAGGCUCCUGGUUUAUAGCUGCAAGCUCUGGACAUUUAAUACCUUGUAAUCCAUCCUUCCCUUAUAUACCUCUCAACAUAAUGACUGUACAAUAUGGCCAAUGAAACGGAUAGUAAAAUGAAACAUAGGCAAGUAAUAAAGUGAGAUAUGAAGACAGUAGUACAACCUGGAUGAGGGUGGAAUGCAAAAUUGUCAUCAGAGAAGACGACAGGAGGACCUGAGAGCUGGAGGGACGGACGCUUAUCUACCCAAAUGAGGCUAUAAAAAGUAGAAAGAUGGCAGGGUAAAAAUGGGGGAGGGCUGCCACUUAAGACUCUCAGGAAACAGUGAUGCAUCAGACUUUAUCAUUAAGUCCCAGGGGAGAGGAGUGGAUCUGGGGAUCCCUUUAGAUAUGGUAGAAUUCUCCUGGGUCCUGCUCUGGUCUUAAAUCUCAGACCAGUAGCAGGAAAACCCUAACUGUACUGUGGUCCUGAAUGUCACUGCAACUUCAGCCCUGCUGUGGUGGUGUAUCUGCUCCUCUGGCUGGCUCUGCCACCUUGAAAGGUGAGACCAUGUGGAGCAGAGCCAAGGGGCCUCAGCUGACAGCCAGCACCAACCAUCAGUCAUGUGAGUGAGACCACCUUGGACCCCCAACCCCAGUUGGGUUGUCAGAUGACUAUAGCUGCAGGUACAAGAGUGACCCAGUGACACCAGCAGAUGAACCGGCUAGCUUAGCUCAGCCCAAACUGCUGACUUAGAACUGUUGUUAUGUUAAGCCAGUACAUUUUCAGUGACUCAUUACAAAGCAGUAGAUAACUGUGACAGUCUAAGAGGAUCUAAGUUUGGAAACAGGAUUGAAUAUUUAAGAUAACUGAUUUGCCAGAUUUAUAAGUUUAUUAGUAUAUAAGAGUUGCUUGGCUGGGCACAGUGGCUCAUGCCUGUAACCCUAACACCUUGGAAGGCUGAAGCAGGAAGAUUGCUUGAGCCCAGGAGUUUGAGACCAGCCUUGGCAACACAGUGAGACCCAAUCUCUUAAAAAAAAAAAAAAAAAAAAAAACUCCGUCUCCCUCUCGCUCUCCGUCUCCCUCUCGCUCUCCCUCUCCCCACGGUCUCCCUCUCAUGCGGAGCCGAAGCUGGACUGUACUGCUGCCAUCUCGGCUCACUGCAUCCUCCCUGCCUGAUUCUCCUGCCUCAGUCUGCCGAGUGCCUGCGAUUGCAGGCACGCGCCGCCACGCCUGACUGGUUUUGGUGGAGACAGGGUUUCGCUGUGUUGGCCGGGCCGGUCUCCAGCCCCUAACCGCGAGUGAUCCGCCAACCUCGGCCUCCCGAG
rnacentral:lncRNA from 1 species